GAUGAACGCUGGCGGCGUGCUUAACACAUGCAAGUCGAACGGGAAACCUUUUAUUGAAGCUUCGGCAGAUUUAGCUGGUUUCUAGUGGCGGACGGGUGAGUAACGCGUGGGUAACCUGCCUUAUACAGGGGGAUAACAGUCAGAAAUGGCUGCUAAUACCGCAUAAGCGCACAGAGCUGCAUGGCUCAGUGUGAAAAACUCCGGUGGUAUAAGAUGGACCCGCGUUGGAUUAGCUGGUUGGUGGGGUAACGGCCCACCAAGGCGACGAUCCAUAGCCGGCCGGAGAGGGUGAACGGCCACAUUGGGACUGAGACACGGCCCAGACUCCUACGGGAGGCAGCAGUGGGGAAUAUUGCACAAUGGGGGAAACCCUGAUGCAGCGACGCCGCGUGAAGGAAGAAGUAUCUCGGUAUGUAAACUUCUAUCAGCAGGGAAGAUAAUGACGGUACCUGACGAAGAAGCCCCGGCUAACUACGUG
rnacentral:rRNA from 1 species